UAGCUUGCUAGGAGGCGUCGAGCGGCGGACGGGUGAGUAACACGUGAGAAUCUGCCCAUUAGUGGGGGAUAACCUGGGGAAACCCAGGCUAAUACCGCAUAAUCUCUACGGAGGAAAGCAGGGGAUCUUCGGACCUUGUGCUGAUGGAUGAGCUCGCGUCGGAUUAGCUUGUUGGUGAGGUAAUGGCUCACCAAGGCGACGAUCCGUAGCUGGUCUUAGAGGAUGAUCAGCCACACCGGGACUGAGACACGGCCCGGACUCCUACGGGAGGCAGCAGUGGGGAAUCUUGGACAAUGGGGGCAACCCUGAUCCAGCCAUGCCGCGUGUGUGAAGAAGGCCUUCGGGUUGUAAAGCACUUUCAGUAGGGAGGAAGGCUUAUCCUUAAUACGGAUGAGUACUUGACGUUACCUACAGAAGAAGCACCGGCUAAUUUCGUGCCAGCAGCCGCGGUAAUACGAAAGGUGCGAGCGUUAAUCGGAAUUACUGGGCGUAAAGCGCGCGUAGGCGGUUUGCU
rnacentral:rRNA from 1 species